GACAACGCUGGCGGCGCGCCUAACACAUGCAAGUCGAACGAGAGAUGAGGAGCUUGCUCUUCAAAUCGAGUGGCGAACGGGUGAGUAACGCGUGAGGAACCUGGCCUCAAAGAGGGGGACAACAGUUGGAAACGACUGCUAAUACCGCAUAAGCCCACGGCUCGGCAUCGAGCAGAGGGAAAAGGAGCAAUCCGCUUUGAGAUGGCCUCGCGUCCGAUUAGCUAGUUGGUGAGGUAACGGGCCCACCAAGGCGACGAUCGGUAGCCGGACUGAGAGGUUGAACGGCCACAUUGGGACUGAGACACGGCCCAGACUCCUACGGGAGGCAGCAGUGGGGAAUAUUGCACAAUGGGGAAACCCUGAUGCAGCGACGCCGCGUGGAGGAAGAAGGUCUUCGGAUUGUAAACUCCUGUUGUUGAGGAAGAUAAUGACGGUACUCAACAAGGAAGUGACGGCUAACUACGUG
rnacentral:rRNA from 1 species